rnacentral:sRNA from 1 species
AAGUGCGAUCGUGAAAGUGAUUGUGCAUCCCUGUCUAUCGAUAUGCAAAGACAAAACAUAUGUUUGAAAAGCAUAUGAUGAAAAGGCAGAGUGCAAUUAAUUGCAAAAGUUGCAACUGAAAGAGAUAACAAUUUCUCCCAAGUGCAAGUGAACGUGUGUUCGACAGGCCGAAGAAGGAAUCAUCCGGUGGAACGAGAGGUAGCAGCUGAGAAGACUCCACAUCCCAAUCACCGAGCAGUGCCGCCAGUUUUGUUAAGUUGAUUGUGUAGUUUAAGCCAGUGCAUUGUAGUGUUGUUUUGCUGCAUGUGUGUAUGUGCAUACGUGCCAAAUAAAACUUUUAAUUGAAUAUAAAAUUCAAUUUGAGUUUUAUUUGUUAGGAUAUCCUUUGCAGAUAGGAUAUGUGAGGACGACCAGUUUCCAGGUAAGUUGCUUGCAUAUACCAAUGGCCAAUUUGAAUUUUAAUGUAGAUUAAUGUUCUUUUUUAGCGUAUAUGCUUGCAAUCAGUUGCUGGGGAAGGACCAGCCUGCAUCGGCCGAAGAAUCUCCUGGAUUUGUGUUGUGUGUGCGCGAAGUGCUCGCUGUGGGUGGCAGUGGCGCCAGUUGUCGAAAGAUUGGCAGGCGCGACUGCGAGGCAGUAGCGUCGCCUAUAUUUUGUGUCGCCCCAGAGGUGGGGGUGUGUGGGACUGCGUCAUACGAUGGCGCGCCGUUGCGACGAGCCUCGUUUCUGCGUCGCGCUGCCAUUCUGCGAAGAUUUUCGCUGGAGUUGCGGGUUGAGGCCGGAUAUGACCUCGUGAACCUCUCUGCUAAAAUGUUGCGGCUGUGCUCGCGUAAAGUUAUCGGGCCGUAUACGGGCGGAUGUCGGCGAAGAUAAUUAGCGUGUAGCUCCUCGUCGAACUCCGCUUGUCUUCGCUGCUGUCGCUGUGCGCGCAACUCGAUUUCAUU